rnacentral:sRNA from 1 species
AAAGGAGAUCAUCGUUGCCCAGAGUGGAGC